rnacentral:rRNA from 1 species
GUGGGGAAUAUUGGACAAUGGGGGGAACCCUGAUCCAGCCAUGCCGCGUGUGUGAAGAAGGCCUUUUGGUUGUAAAGCACUUUAAGCGAGGAGGAGGCUACCGAGAUUAAUACUCUUGGAUAGUGGACGUUACUCGCAGAAUAAGCACCGGCUAACUCUGUGCCAGCAGCCGCGGUAAUACAGAGGGUGCAAGCGUUAAUCGGAUUUACUGGGCGUAAAGCGCGCGUAGGUGGCCAAUUAAGUCAAAUGUGAAAUCCCCGAGCUUAACUUGGGAAUUGCAUUCGAUACUGGUUGACUAGAGUAUGGGAGAGGAUGGUAGAAUUCCAGGUGUAGCGGUGAAAUGCGUAGAGAUCUGGAGGAAUACCGAUGGCGAAGGCAGCCAUCUGGCCUAAUACUGACACUGAGGUGCGAAAGCAUGGGGAGCAAACAGGAUUAGAUACCCGAGUAGUCC